rnacentral:rRNA from 1 species
UACGUAGGUGGCGAGCGUUGUCCGGAUUUACUGGGCGUAAAGAGCGCGCAGGCGGUUGGUCAAGUCGAAUGUGAAAGCCCCCGGCUCAACUGGGGAGGGUCAUUCGAUACUGGUCGACUCGAAGGCAGGAGAGGGACGUGGAAUUCCCGGUGUAGUGGUGAAAUGCGUAGAUAUCAAGUGGAACACCAGUGGCGAAGGCGAGUCUCUGGACAUUUCCUGACGCUGAGGCACGAAAGCCAGGGGAGCAAACGGG